CAAACCAACACCCCAGAAAUAUUCACAAAAAUUACAAGAUCACUAAAGGAAAAAAACGCAGCAUACCACACUUUUCAGCUCAAAACCGACAAAAGCUACAAAGCAGUAAUCAGGGGACUACACUCAAAAACAAAUACCGGAAAAAUAAGUGAAGAACUGGCAAAAAUCGGACACCAGGCAAGGUCAAUUAAUAACAUCAACAAAUACGAUACCAAACAACCGUUACCGCUAUUCCUAGUUGAACUAGAACCUAAAAACAACAACAAAGAAAUAUACGAUAUAGAAAAAUUACUAAACACAAUAGUAAAAGUGGAGCCACCUAGACAUAAAAAAGAAAUCCCACAAUGCAUAAGGUGCCAACAAUACGGACACACUAAAAACUAUUGCAAUAGAACCCCGGCAUGCGUUAAAUGCGCAAAAAAUCAUCUCACGACACACUGCCCAUUCACGGGAAAAGUAGAGGAGGUUAAAUGCUACAACUGUAACGGAAACCACCCAGCCAGCUAUAAAGGAUGUGAAUUCAAACUAGCAGCAACUACUUCCAGUUGUCAGCAGUAUACGUGCCUCCGCGACACAAAAUAACAACACAAAUGUGGGAAGAAUACUUACAGGACCUAGGGGACAAGUACAUCGGAGCGGGAGACUACAACUCAAAGCACACGCUUUGGGGGUCAAGAAACAUUACACCUCGAGGUAGAACAUUGGAAAAAUACAUUAGAAAUAAUAACCUCAAUAUAUUAUCCACAGGAACACCGACACAUUGGCCGACUGACCUGAACAAAAAACCAGAUCUUCUGGACUUUGCAGUUACAAGGGGACUAAACACAAAUAAACUAAAA
rnacentral:misc_RNA from 1 species